GACGAACGCUGGCGGCGUGCUUAACACAUGCAAGUCGAACGGAGUGGCGAACGGGUGAGUAACACGUGGGUGACCUGCCCUGCACUUCGGGAUAAGCCUGGGAAACUGGGUCUAAUACCGGAUAGUGUGGGAUGGGACCGGGGCCUAUCGGCUUGGUGGUGGGGUAAUGGCCUACCAAGGCGGGGACGGGUAGCCGGCCUGAGAGGGUGGACGGCCAAAUUGGGACCAGGCCACGGCCCAGACUCCUACGGGAGGCAGCAGUGGGGAAUAUUGCACAAUGGGGGGAAGCCUGAUGCAGCGACGCGGCGUGGGGGAUGACGGCCUUCGCGUUGUAAACUCCUUUCACCAUCGACGCGGUAGAUGGAGAAGAAGCACCGGCUAACUACGUGCCAGCAGCCGCGGUAAUUC
rnacentral:rRNA from 1 species